ACAAAAGGAAUCCUUUAUGAUCAACUCCCCACCAUUAUUGCACAGAGCAAAAAUGCUUCUGUGGCUAAACUUGGUGUCCUUACUGGCAUUCCUCCAUGGUGCCAAGUCUCAAGUCCAGUUGGUGGAGUCUGGAGGGGAUGUGAGAAGACCUGGGGAGUCCCUCCGUCUCUCCUGCCAAACCUCUGGGUUCACCUUCAGCAGCUAUUACAUGUACUGGGUGAGACAAGCACCAGGGAAAGGACUGGAAUGGGUAGCAAGGAUCGGAACAUCCUCAUCUCCGAUUAGCUAUUCAGACAAAGUCAAAGGACGUUUCACCAUCUCCAGGGAUGAUUCCCGCAGCCAGCUGCAUUUGCAAAUGAACAAUCUUAAAGUGGAAGACAUGGCAGUUUAUUACUGUGCAAGAGACACAGUGAGAGGAAGUGAAUCUUAUGCUAAACAAGAACCUUCUCAUCAAAGAAGCUGUACUAAUUUAUGA